rnacentral:rRNA from 1 species
UGGCGAACGGGUGAGUAAUACAUCGGAACGUACCCAGUAGUGGGGGAUAGCUCGGCGAAAGCCGGAUUAAUACCGCAUACGACCUACGGGUGAAAGCGGGGGAUCGAAAGACCUCGCGCUAUUGGAGCGGCCGAUGUCGGAUUAGCUAGUUGGUAAGGUAAUGGCUUACCAAGGCAACGAUCUGUAGCCGGCCUGAGAGGGCGGUCGGCCACACUGACACUGAAUAACGGGUCAG